rnacentral:rRNA from 1 species
CCUACGGGGGGCAGCAGUGGGGGAUAUUGCACAAUGGGGGAAACCCUGAUGCAGCGACGCCGCGUGUGGGAAGACGGUCCUCUGGAUUGUAAACCACUGUCCCCAGGGACGAAGAUGACGGUACCUGGGGAGGAAGCUCCGGCUAACUACGUGCCAGCAGCCGCGGUAAUACGUAGGGAGCGAGCGUUGUCCGGAAUUACUGGGUGAAAGGGGAGCGUAGGCGGGACUGCAAGUUGGGUGUCAAAUCUACCGGCUCAACCGGUAGCCGCACUCAAAACUGCAGUUCUUGAGUGAAGUAGAGGCAGGCGGAAUUCCUAGUGUAGCGGUGAAAUGCGUAGAUAUUAGGAGGAACACCAGUGGCGAAGGCGGCCUGCUGGGCUUUUACUGACGCUGAGGCUCGAAAGUGUGGGGAGUAAACAGGAUUAGAUACCCUGGUAUC